CCUACGGGAGGCAGCAGUGAGGAAUAUUGGUCAAUGGCCGGAAGGCUGAACCAGCCAAGUCGCGUGAAGGAUGACGGCCCUACGGGUUGUAAACUUCUUUUGUCAGGGAGCAAUUGGGUCCACGCGUGGGCUUAGCGAGAGUACCUGAAGAAAAAGCAUCGGCUAACUCCGUGCCAGCAGCCGCGGUAAUACGGAGGAUGCGAGCGUUAUCCGGAUUUAUUGGGUUUAAAGGGAGCGUAGAUGGGUUGUUAAGUCAGUUGUGAAAGUUUGCGGCUCAACCGUAAAAUUGCAAUUGAUACUGGUAGUCUUGAGUACAGUUGAGGUAGGCGGAAUUCGUGGUGUAGCGGUGAAAUGCUUAGAUAUCACGAAGAACUCCGAUUGCGAAGGCAGCUUACUAAACUGCCACUGACAUUGAUGCUCGAAAGUGUGGGUAUCAAACAGGAUUAGAUACCCUUGUAGUC
rnacentral:rRNA from 1 species